CAUGACAGGGUCCCCUUAAGCCAAAUAUUCCUAGACAAGCAACAACGAACCAAAAAAACGCAACAGCUUCACCACAAAUUCAUUAUUAGAUGACAAGCAAUUCACGGCAAAUAAAACUCCCUUAUUAUCAGUAUAUACCAACACCCUUUUAUCUGCUAACUCCUGCCCCCAAAUUACUAAAGACACCACUAGUGGGAAAAGUUCUAAUAACACUAAAUUCUUCAAAACUGUAUCAACUUUCCAGGAUUCAUGCCAUUUCUCCGCUGACCACUGACCCUAAAAAUAAGCCCCAUAACCACAAGACCCAGCUGCAUCCGUGACUAGGCCUAAAGCCUCAGACUCAACAAAAUCCCGCUGCCACAAGCUACACCCGUUAAAAUGUACCAGAAACUCCUCCCAAACCCUCAAAUCAUCUUUCAAAGACUUUGAUAACCUAAUAUGAGCAGA